rnacentral:lncRNA from 1 species
AGGCCUGGAAAGGAUGAGCGGUUCUCGCCGCUCGCGCGCAGAUGCACUCGCGCUAGGCUCGCCGCUAACCCGAAGGGAGGGAACCCUGGCGGUUUCUGAUGUUCCGUCCAUUUUAGUCCCAGAGGAUCUGUGGACGUCGAGGAGUCCAAGGAGGAAGGGAAAGAUGUGGUCCACGAAAACCCCGGAGGUGGUGCUGGGUGGGGCCCUGCCAUGUGGAAGAAAUUGGGGCUGACCAGGAAGAAGACUCUGGCAGACACACCAGGCCUAGCUCCAGACACCUCUAGGCCAGCACCUGCCUUUGGCCAGAUUAUGAAGGUAAUCAGGCUGCCUACAGGAGCCCAGGCCUCUCUGUCUGGGCUUUCCCUCCAUGGGCAUGUCCUCUCCCCUCUCACCCUGAAACCCUUUCCCUUGAAUGAUUCUGAUUGUGGGUCGUCCUGCUGAGGACAGAGUUCUCUCCAGAUGGGCUUCCUCUUCCCUGGGGCUUUGUACUUUGUGCUGGGCUGUCUCGAUGAGGGUGAAAGACUCUGUGUCCUGAGAAAGGAACACUCAGCAGCAGCUGGUGAUCUGGUGAUGGCAGACUCUCUCUAGAGAGGACCCAUGAGUCCCUUGGGGAGAGCCUGGCUGGCUUUGGAGACAAGUCAUGGAUAACUUUUAUUUAUUUGCUCGCUUGUUGGUUUGUUUGAGGUAUAGUUGAUUUACAACACUGUGUCAGUUUCAGGUGUAGAGCAUAGUGAUUCAGUAUUUUUAUAGCUUAUAUUCUGUUAUAGAUUAUUAUAAGAUAAUGGAUAUAACUCCCUGUGCUAUAUAAUAUAUCCUUGUUGCUUAUCUAUUUCAUGUAUAGUAAGCAACAAAUAUUCCUAAUUUGUCCUGCCCCUCUACCCUCUCCCCUUUGGUAACCACAGAUUUGUUUUCUAUGUCUGCGAGACUCUUUCUGUUUUGUAUAUAGAUUCAUUUCUAUUACUUCUUAAAUUCCACAUAUAAGCGAUAUCAUAUAGUCCUUGGCUUUCUCUUACUUCACUGAUCACAAUAUUUUCUAGAUCCAUUGUUGUGAAUAGCUUUGAAUUGCUUCUGACCAGCAGACCGAGGCCCACCCUUCAGGUGACAGCACAGUUUUGCCUUAGUAAUUGACUCAUCUUUCAUUUGAUACAGUUUUGGUGGGACUGUCCAUCGAGGGACCCUGUCAUUCCUGGCCAGAUGGACCAUGUCACCCAAAUUAGGCAAAUUGGAUACUCUGUCCUAGGAAGUUAAAUUUUUUGAGGAGGUGAUACAAAACCAGAAAAUGUUUGGGGCCAAUUCGUCCUAGUUCUGGUCAUUACCCCCUGGUGUCUGCUUCCCAGAUUCCUGGAACUGCCCUGCUGCUCAUCCUUCUGGCUUCAGCUUUUCCUGGAGUUCUCUGUUUCCUCAUGUCUUCCUAUAAAGUCCUUUCUGGGUAAGUUACGCAGAUUCAGUUUCUAUUGCUUACCAUCUAAGACCCUGGGCUAAUGUGGCACCAAUGUCACUUAGGUCUUUCAAGCCCCAUUGCCUCCCCUAGCAAUGGUUAAGGCCUCUCCAUGUGUGUGCAUAUGUGGGGUCCUGCUGUAUUUUAUUUAUGCUGUGGAUGGAAUGUGGGCAGUGGUCGAAGGAGGCCAGCCAGGUUGGGUGUUAGGAGCUAAGAGAGAUGGUGAAGUCAGACAGAUUCAUCUCCUAGGUCCUUAACCAGACUGUCAGAUUGGACUUGCACAGCCAUGGGAGGAGGCUCAUGGCAGAUCCAGGAAGCGCAUGAGGCCACAGGCUGAAUACACUGUAUCUUGUCAAAGUGCCAAUGUGAAGAUUUUACAGGCGUAGGGAGACAUCGUAGAGUUUUGUUGUUGUUGUUGUUUUUAGUUUUAAAGAAAAAAUAUAUAUGUAUUGGGCAUAGGAAUAAAAUCUGCAGGAAUUUUUAUGAGAACACGAGUGUGUUCUAAGAAAUUUCCUGCUGGCAGAGAGCCAAUUCCAUAUGCGUAUCUAAACCUCUUGGCAGUACAUGUUCUUCUCUGCUGCUAUAAAGGGUUCUUUGGUGGAAAUUUAGAGAAACACAGACUAAAGGUGUUGGGAGCUUUGAUUCAACUACACAGACUGUUCUAAUCCAGGUCCCCUCCUCUGUCUAACCCUCAAAUUCCUUUCAGGGUUAAGCUAGAAGUGGAGGCCUCACUGAGGCCUAUUAUCCCUGACAUCUUUCCCAGACUCUCAUUACUGCUGCCUUCUUAAAAAUGGUCAAGCAUGUUAAAAGUCCUUCACCAGGGAAAUACAGCCUCAUCUUCCUCAGGUAAAUGCAAAAAGCUUAAAAUCAGAGUGAUGGGUCUUAUAAUGGAGAAGGAAAUCAAUAAAGAAGGCCCAAAUCUCUCUUGUGCCUAAGAUGCUAAAUAUAUGGAUUCCUAUUACAUUCUAGGCAUUUCCCACACUUAAUCAUUACCUCCAUAAAGCAAAGAUGGUGUUAUUCUCAGGCUAUCGAUGAAGAUACUAGAGCUCAGUGAGGUUGGGUCAGUAACCCAAAGCCACACAGCUAAUAGGCCAUUUUUCUGAAAUACAUUUUUUUUCAUCCCUCUCCCCUUUUGAGAGUGUACUAAUUAAAUCUGCAAAACUUCAGCCCGGAUGGGCUUAUUGUCUGUUGCCUUCCUCAUAAGAGGUAGGAUGUGUCCUUACCCAAAGGACCCUGGCUUCCUGGGGCUGGGGUACUGGAGAGUGGCCCAGAGAGGAAGAGGGCGCCUGGAGGCAGUUCCUCCCAUGACCCUGUACGGCAGAGUGGAAGAUCAUGGGCUUUGUGAACAAACAGAGCUGAGUCUGAGACUCCACUCUCCUACUUAUCAUAAGAGGGACAGGCCGAGGGUACAGAGCCAGAGAAACCCACCACCACCAGCCCACCACAGACUCCCUAGGUCACAGUUGGGUUCAAAAUCCACCCUGUUCCUAGUGUCUCUGCCAAAAAAGAACAGUGGCUGCUACACCUCCCACAACAUCUGACCAAGUGUCCUGCAGAAUGUUACUGAUUCCAGAGAAGCUGAUGGCAAAGUGGCUGUGCAUGGGGCUGACAGCCCAGUCCUGGCAGAAUCUGCUCUCGUGACCUCAUCCUGACCUGAACCGUCCUCCCUGCAGGUGCUCUGGCCCCUUCCCUGACCUUGCUGGCUGAGGAUCCAGGACCAGUCCAGGGCAGAGCUACAGGGCAACCGUCCUUGACUCCUGGGCUGGAGUCCGAGGGGCUGACCGCUUCUUGCCGAGGUCCCUUUGGUGUCAAGGGUUUUGUCUCCCACCCCAGCUUUCCCAGAACAUCCUGUUCAGCAGGGGCUGAUAACACUGUGCUCAGGGCCCUGGGGCAGACGGUCCCAUGUAGCUAGGCCCUGAACUCUCUGACCUGAGCAUGGGACUCUGGCAGCUGGGGAUCUGGGAUCAUGAUACCCUCUGCACCGAGGAGUGAGAGUCAGCUACUUUAUUGCCAAGUUGAAAGAAUUUUUAAACUUCCUUUCCAUUGUAUGUUUCUUUUAAGGAAGAAAUUCCAUUAUACAUUGUAACACUGACCAUUUUUAUGCUGUGCAGAGUCUCAAUGGGGACAUUUCUGUCCCUCCAGGAACCACUAGGGUUUCCAUUGCUGGAUGGCAGGGGCCCUGUCAUAGAGGCGUGGAUACUUUGCCUGGAAAGGCCUUAGAGAUGAUCUGGUCCAGCCCAGAAAGGAGAGAGUUUUUUCAAGAAGCCUUGGCCUGCGGGACCUGAGCUAAUGCAAUGCCCCACAUAGAAAGGGGAGCUGGGUCUGUUGCUCAGCACUGCAGGUGCGCCCCCAGCACAAGGCUUUGCCCCUAGUUGGUUCUCAAAAAAAAAAAAAAAAAAAAAAAAGUGAUAAAGGAAGGAAUGAACAGAUCAAGACCAAGCAAGCCUGGAGGCUGUUCUGCUUCAAGGUUGGACAGUUGCCUUGACUUUGCCUUGCCUCUCAAAGAGUCGCUUUGACUAGGGUUCAAGGCCAAACCAACUGCCUGGGUGGCAGCUAAGCUCUUCAUGAUGCCACCUGUGACUUUAUCAGUUGGGGCUACAUCUCGGCAUCCCCAUUCCCAAACACAGUGGCCUUUGCAGAGAAGAUACACAGAGGAACUUUGCCCAGCAAAGGGGUUUGACGGAUGGGUAUGUGGACAGGACAUGGCCCUCCUUGCAGAUUCCCCACCUAGAGAUCAUGGAGGUGGUUGUCCUCACUGGGAUCUCCUUAAGCAGACCCUAAGUGCAGGGUUUGGUGGUAAUUACUUAUUUAGGAGAUGAUCCCAGGAAAUCUAGGUGAGGAGUUGGGGAAGUGGAACAGGGAAGGCAGAAAAGUCACUCCUUUAUUAAGGGGUAUUGAUGAGCAGGUUAUUCCUCUGGGCUCCUGGAGACCCUCUGAAGGGUCAGGAAGCUGUUAUCAAUCAACAGCUAUUCCUCACUGGGUGAGGUUUACAUCAUGGGCUCUUGAUUUUCUGCACCCUCGGCCUUCCCUGUGCUUCUGUUGCUGGAGAGAGCCCUUGGGUAGAGAGAAGCAGGCUUUGACGUGGAAGGCCUGUGAAUUCAGGGACUGGCCUUGGGGCUACAGGGAGGCCAUUGGCAGCAUCUGCUGGAGGGGCGUCUACACUGUCAUCCCCACCUCCUCACCACCAGCCCAGGCUGUCUGCAGGUGCAGCGAGCCCAGAAGGCAACAAAACUAUCUGAUGGUUACAGCCUGAGUCUGAAAUCCUGGCCUCAUCCCAGCCACGCAACCAUCUCCCCACAGGCAAUUCCAGAAGACCCCCCUGAGUUGAUGGGCCCAGCUGCUCUGAGGGGCUGGUGGGUAAAGAAGAUAUAGCAUUCUCUUCUCUUACGUUGCUGUGAGUCUUCAAGGAUUAGGGAACUUGGGCAGUCGGUGAGGAAUACACCCUAGAAUUGUACUGUCAACUAGCCUGGCUGUCACUGUCCCUAAUUCACUGAGUGGCCCUGACAAAUCUUGUUCACUCAUCUGGAGUCUCAUAUGAGCUCAUAUAGGCCCUAUAGGCUUGAGGCGGCUAUUUUUAACCCUAUUUUUUGGUUGAAACUGAGGUCUAGAGAAGGCUAGUGAGUUUCUUAAGGUCCUACAGCUGAACGUGCCAGCACAAGGUCCUUAUUUUGCUCUUCCUAUUUAAUAUGAACCCUACCCUAGGGCCAGUCUUUUGUGAAUAAGGUGAAGAAAAUGGAGACAAGAAGACAUGUUGAGUGAUGUGGUGACACUCAGUCAAGGAUAACCCAUUACCUUUAAAAACAUUUUAAAAAAAAUUAUGGCUGGGGAUUUCCCAUUGAGGCGCCAUGGAAGUGAAUCCAACUAGGAGCCAUUAGGUUGUAGGUUCAAUCCCUGGCCUCACUCAGUGGGUCAAGGAUCGGGUGUUGCUGUGAGCUGUGGUGUAGGUCGAAGACAUGGCCUGGAUCUGGUGUUGCUGUGGCUAUGGCAUAGGCCGGCGGCUACAGCUCCAAUUAGGCCCCUAGCCUGGGAACCUCCAUA